GAUGAACGCUGGCGGCGUGCCUAAUACAUGCAAGUCGAGCGAACAGACGAGGAGCUUGCUCCUCUGACGUUAGCGGCGGACGGGUGAGUAACACGUGGAUAACCUACCUAUAAGACUGGGAUAACUUCGGGAAACCGGAGCUAAUACCGGAUAAUAUAUUGAACCGCAUGGUUCAAUAGUGAAAGACGGUUUUGCUGUCCCUUAUAGAUGGAUCCGCGUCGCAUUAGCUAGUUGGUAAGGUAACGGCUUACCAAGGCAACGAUGCGUAGCCGACCUGAGAGGGUGAUCGGCCACACUGGAACUGAGACACGGUCCAGACUCCUACGGGAGGCACCAGUAGGGAAUCUUCCGCAAUGGGCGAAAGCCUGACGGAGCAACGCCGCGUGAGUGAUGAAGGUCUUCGGAUCGUAAAACUCUGUUAUUAGGGAAGAACAAAUGUGUAAGUAACUAUGCACGUCUUGACGGUACCUAAUCAGAAAGCCACGGCUAACUACGUG
rnacentral:rRNA from 1 species